GCCCUGCUGGCGCAAUGGUUAGCGUGCUUGACUUCGAUUCACGAUCAUAUCAAGAGGUUGUGGGUUCGAACCCCACGCGGGGUU
rfam:Plicaturopsis crispa FD-325 SS-3 unplaced genomic scaffold PLICRscaffold_1, whole genome shotgun sequence.